rnacentral:lncRNA from 1 species
CCAUCUUUAUGCAUUCAGAAGCAAUGUAGGAUAUGCUCAACAGUCUGGGACCAGGUAUCUCAAUUGAUUGUUGCAGAUUUGAGUCAUGUAGAAGCCCUUGAUUAGGAACCUAAAUGCUGGAGACGCAGCUCCUCCCAUCUCUGGCACUAACUGCGGGAGCUUGGAUAGUGGUUUUCCCCUCCGCAGCCGAGCCUCAUGUCUGAGGCUGUAAUCUGUAAAUAAUGGGGAUGUACUUGGAUGUCUGAGGUCCCCUCCUGCACUAACAAUAAUCAAGAUUCACCUUAAGAAGCAGAAUGGCUAACGCCAACUCAAACUAUUUCUGCAAAGAGUUGCUGGGGACAAAGUGGAGAUGUGGGUAGGCUCCUCGAGCUGGCUCUGAGAAGCAGGCUACUGUUUUGGACCUGGAAACUGCUAUUCACUAGAAGUCAGUCCCGCCUCUAACACUCUGUAAUGUGUGAGCAAAUUUCUGAGCCUCAGUUUCCCCAUCAGUCCAUUGGUGAGUAACUGCUUCUUUCUUUGCAAAAGCUUUGUGAGGACUGAGUAAAAUAGUGAAUGCGAUGCACCUAGUAGACAGUGGGUACUUAACAAAUGUGCUUCAGUUUUUAAAAAAAGAUUUUGUUUAUUUAUUUGACAGAGAGAGAUACAGCAAGAGAAGGAACACAAGCAGGGGGAGUGGGAGAGGGAGAAGCAGACUUGCCGCCAAGCAAGGAGCCCAAUGCAGGGCUAGAUCCCAGGACCCUGGGAUUCUGACCAGAGCCGAAGGCAGAAGCUUUAUGACUGAGCCACUCAGCCACCCCCACUCUACACGAUCAGAACAGAAUCUCCUUGGAUCCCUGGGGUCUGUGGACUGGGGUGGCUCAGACACUCGGUGCUAUCGAUCCUGUAGGCAGAGAAUCCAGCUCUUGUGGCCCCUUCCUGCUUCCUCCCCUCCCCUGCAUGUUCCCCAAGAGCUCGCUCUGUGUGAAGCCCCAUCCGGGAAGCUGGGGAGACACCAGUGGAUGACAAGUCUUGGCCCGCAAGAUGCAGCGGGGAAGAAGAGGAUGAGAGAGUAAAGAGAUCAUGGAAAAGCCCAGUGCCUUAUCUGCUGAUGCGAAACAUUUAGCAGGUCUGGAAAGUGAAUGAAGAAGGAAUGCAGGGUCCUGGGCAUCCAGGUGGCAAUCUGGAAUUUGUGUUUUGGAGAGGAGGGUAACGGAAGGAAUGGGGGACAUGGGCUUUAGUGGGAACAUCCCGUUGGCCUGCAGACUCUGAGGAAGGCUUCGGAGAAAGGAGGGCAGAGACAGACCCUGUUUAGAGCAGAGCCCAGGAAAGAAGCCCAAGGGCAAGGAUGGGGCCAUGUCACCAGACCAGGUCUGGCGGUGGCAAGCCUGGAGACAAGGUCAUUUAAAGGGCUGCUGUUAUAGCUCAUGGGGCAUCCAUGCUGGUCUGAACCAAGAUGGAGGAGACAGGGCUGAAGAGGGAGAAGAGCUCAGGAGGAGGAAGUGAUAGGUGGGAUCGUCCUAGCUGCUGCUGUGGUCUCGACCCUGCUGACUCUGAUCAGGUCACACGGGGCAGCUAAACAGGCUGUACGACCCACCCUGGGGCAGACCCUGGACCUGGAGGAUUAUAGAAUGGGAAAUAUAAGGUUCUAAUUUAAGUACGUACCCCUGUGAGGAAUGAGAUCCUAAGGCAGGCUAUGGAUCAGCCAGUGGAAGAGGGUAGGAAUGGGAGGCAGAAGAGCACAGGUAGGAACAAUGUUCUAGAAGUGCUGUCGGGAGAUGAAGGUGUUGUAACGCCUGUUCUCUCCCUCAGGAGUGAAAGGGAGAGGUGGCAAGUGGCCAAAGGUAGGCUGGACCCACCUACCACCUGGCAGUCUGCUGUGUUAGCAUACAACUCUCUGUGCGUGCGUGUGCACUCACAUACAUGUUAGGUAGGAGGGAAAGGCUUGUGGGAGACAACCCUGGAAGGGACACAUAUGAGAAGGUUGCAUGUUUUGCCCAGCGGGUCAGGGAACUAUCAACCUCGUCACUCACCUCCUCUUUUCUGUGUGGAGAUGUUCAGGUCUAGAAAGAAUUCACUCUCAGAGAAAUGAAGAUAAGAAGCAGCAACAAACAGCACCACAGGCAUAAAGGAGAAGAAUUGCUCGUAUCUCUGCAUCCCACAUCCUGAAGAGAAUCUAAUAUUUGUCCCAUCCAAGCAUCUGAAAAUGCAGGCAGGAGUGACACGACGUAGAUGCCGAUCAUGCAGUUUUGAAUGAGUUUGUGUUUGAGGCUGUGAUAGCCCCAGAGGACUCCCGGGUAAGUUAUCUAUAGUUGGAACAUUGCGUAUACUGUAUUUGCAUCAAAACAGGGCCCACUUC